rnacentral:rRNA from 1 species
AUUCCCCUACGGGGCGCAGCAGUAAGGGAUAUUGGUCAAUGGGGGAAACCCUGAACCAGCAACGCCGCGUGAGGGAAGACGGUUUUCGGAUUGUAAACCUCUGUCCUCUGUGAAGAUGAUGACGGUAGCAGAGGAGGAAGCUCCGGCUAACUACGUGCCAGCAGCCGCGGUAAUACGUAGGGAGCGAGCGUUGUCCGGAUUUACUGGGUGUAAAGGGUGCGUAGACGGGAAAUUAAGUUAGUUGUGAAAUCCCUCGGCUUAACUGAGGAACUGCAACUAAAACUGAUUUUCUUGAGUACUGGAGG